GAUGAACGCUAGCGAUAGGCUUAACACAUGCAAGUCGAGGGGCAGCAUGGUCUUAGCUUGCUAAGACUGAUGGCGACCGGCGCACGGGUGCGUAACGCGUAUGCAACUUGCCUCACAGAGGGGGAUAACCCGUCGAAAGACGGACUAAUACCGCGUACACUCCAUCUUGGGCAUCCAAGGUAGAGGAAAUGAAAUUCGCUGUGAGAUAGGCAUGCGUCCCAUUAGCUAGUUGGUGAGGUAACGGCUCACCAAGGCGACGAUGGGUAGGGGAACGGAGAGGUUGAGCCCCGACACUGGUACUGGGACACGGACCAGACUCCUACGGGAGGCAGCAGUGAGGAAUAUUGGUCAAUGGGCGAGAGCCUGAACCAGCCAAGUCGCGUGAAGGAUGACUGUCUUAUGGAUUGUAAACUUCUUUUAUACGGGAAUAGCAAGAGUCACGUGUGACUCCCUGCAUGUACCGUAUGAAUAAGCAUCGGCUAACUCCGUG
rnacentral:rRNA from 1 species